rnacentral:lncRNA from 1 species
AUCAAAUACUAGGCAAAACGCUUUUUAAAAGUGUAUCAGGCUUUUAAGAAACACUGCAGGAUCCUGUCUAUCUUAAUGCUGAUAGAGCUCAGCUAAAAAUUUAGGAGGUUCUAGUAUUCUUCAUGGCUGAAGCUGAGAGAGUCUGAAACCCUGAUGCUUAAGCUCCAUUCUAGAUCAUAGCUCCAACUCCUUCAGGAUAUAAGGAAAAGAGAUUAUAUUUCCACAAUGAUAGAUCUUUGGUUGUACAGGUUUCCCAAUGAGUGGAUCAUGAUGACCGUAUUGUAGGGACUUGCCAUAGUAUGGCUGCUUCCCGAUCUACUCGUGUUACAAGAUCAACAGUGGGGUUAAACGGCUUGGAUGAAUCUUUUUGUGGUAGAACUUUAAGGAAUCGUAGCAUUGCGCAUCCUGAAGAAAUCUCUUCUAAUUCUCAAGUACGAUCAAGAUCACCAAAGAAGAGACCAGAGCCUGUGCCAAUUCAG